UGCUCUUCCAGGAGCUUUUUGAUUCCACGAACAUGGGAGUCUAAAGUGUGGAGGUCUCGGAGCUGACGGUAUUUAUCCUUGGAUCCACAGAUAAAGAGCAAAAGCUUGCGGACUUGGCGGCGCACAAAUGGAGUCUGCUGGAUCAUCAGGUACUCAGACAAAAAGUAGAACCAGGAGUGAUCAAAGACAGGAGGUGGGAUGCGGGAGUUUGUGUCUGCAAUCUUCUUGAUCUGGUAGGGCAGCCGCAGCACCAUCUCUGUCAGAAGCUGAGUGUAGGCC
rnacentral:lncRNA from 1 species